rnacentral:rRNA from 1 species
GACGAAACGUGCGAACGUUGUUCGGAAUCACUGGGCUUAAAGGGCGCGUAGGCGGCCAGGCAAGUCAGGGGUGAAAGCCUCCAGCUCAACUGGAGAAGUGCCUUUGAUACUGCCCGGCUCGAGGGAGGUAGGGGCAGAUGGAACUUCCGGUGGAGCGGUGAAAUGCGUUGAUAUCGGAAGGAACGCCGGUGGCGAAAGCGAUCUGCUGGCCCUCUUCUGACGCUGAGGCGCGAAAGCUAGGGGAGCAAACGGG